rnacentral:lncRNA from 1 species
UUGUUUAGAUACCAUUUUAUUUUCCUUUGCUUAGAUAUUUUAUACCUUUCAAUUAUUUUUCAGGUUUCAUCUUAAAUUUUACUUCUACCAGUGUAUAUAUGACACUUUAAUGUGGGUAACCAGGAAGGUAAUUGAAACUGAACUGAAAAUUGUUAAUGUAUCAGUCGGUUCUCUACUUGCUGAGUUGCAAACUAGCAUGGAAAGAUCUUAUUGUUCUCUCCACAAUAUGCAUGGUUACAUGUUCUUGCCCAAGUCCCUUAAAGUCUACAGAAGAGAAAAUUGUCAUUGCUGUAACUGUACAUGAUACGAAGACUCAUGAUGUUCAUUAGUAAUAAGAAUCAUAUGGUUCUCAUUUUUCCCCAUAUCCCUGCCCUCCCUUCACCUCCUUCUCCCUUCUCUAUUUACAAAAACUAUUCUGUCAUGUAAAGGUACAAGACCCCA